UACGUAGGGUGCGAGCGUUAAUCGGAAUUACUGGGCGUAAAGCGUGCGCAGGCGGUUUGACAAGUCUGAUGUGAAAUCCCCGGGCUCAACCUGGGAACUGCGUUGGAAACUGUCAGGCUAGAGUGUGGCAGAGGGGGGUAGAAUUCCACGUGUAGCAGUGAAAUGCGUAGAUAUGCGGAGGAACACCGAUGGCGAAGGCAAUCCCCUGGACCUGUACUGACGCUCAUGCACGAAAGCGUGGGGAGCAAACAGGAUUAGAUA
rnacentral:rRNA from 1 species